rnacentral:rRNA from 1 species
UACAGAGGUCCCAAGCGUUGUUCGGAUUCAUUGGGCGUAAAGGGUGUGUAGGUGGCGCCGUAAGUCGGGUGUGAAAUUUCGGAGCUUAACUCCGAAACUGCAUUCGAUACUGCGGUGCUUGAGGACUGGAGAGGAGACUGGAAUUCCUGGUGUAGCGGUGAAAUGCGCAGAUAUCAGGAGGAACACCGGUGGCGAAGGCGGCUAUCUGGACAGAGUCUGACGCUGAGGCGCGAAAGCUAGGGGAGCAAACAGG